rnacentral:ribozyme from 11 species
CAUUAUAAUUUACACGAUUUCUACAAAAACUCCCAAGCCAAAAACAAACACUGCAAACACAGACUAGAAAGUAAAUAUAUAAAAAAUGAAUGUGUUCCCCCUUUUCUUUUCUGCCAUGGAACAGACAUAAUUUUUCUCCCCCUAUCCCAGUCUCUCUCCAACAUAUACAUAUAUAUAUAUA